UACGGAGGGUGCGAGCGUUGUCCGGAAUCACUGGGCGUAAAGGGCGCGUAGGCGGCCGUGCAAGCGUGGGGUGAAAGUCCGGGGCUCAACCCCGGAUCGGCCUCGCGAACUGCAGGGCUCGAGCACUGUAGAGGCGGGUGGAAUUCCGGGUGUAGCGGUGGAAUGCGUAGAUAUGUUAUAGAACACCGAUUGCGAAGGCAGCUAACUAAGCAUAUAUUGACGCUGAGGCACGAAAGCGUGGGGAUCAAACAGG
rnacentral:rRNA from 1 species